UCUGCCCCUAGAGGCUUUGCAGGUGUGGCUGCUGUGGCACAUGUGCAUCAGUAGGUGGCAGAGAGGAGAGAGCCUAUGUUCACACUCAGUGUUCUGACCUAUGAACAUCUGAAAGACUAGUAGCAUAACAGU